UAGCUCAAAGGUUAAAGCGUCUGCCUGCAAUGCAGGAGACCUGGGUUUGAUCCCUG
rfam:TPA: Bos taurus chromosome 1, whole genome shotgun sequence.